CCUACGGGGGGCUGCAGUGGGGAAUAUUGCACAAUGGGCGCAAGCCUGAUGCAGCCAUGCCGCGUGUGUGAAGAAGGCCUUCGGGUUGUAAAGCACUUUCAGCGGGGAGGAAGGCGGUGAGGUUAAUAACCUCAUCGAUUGACGUUACCCGCGGAAGAAGCACCGGCUAACUCCGUGCCAGCAGCCGCGGUAAUACGGAGGGUGCAAGCGUUAAUCGGAAUUACUGGGCGUAAAGCGCACGCAGGCGGUCUGUCAAGUCGGAUGUGAAAUCCCCGGGCUCAACCUGGGAACUGCAUUCGAAACUGGCAGGCUAGAGUCUUGUAGAGGGGGGUAGAAUUCCAGGUGUAGCGGUGAAAUGCGUAGAGAUCUGGAGGAAUACCGGUGGCGAAGGCGGCCCCCUGGACAAAGACUGACGCUGAGGAGCGAAAGCGUGGGGAGCGAACAGGAUUAGAUACCCCUGUAGUC
rnacentral:rRNA from 1 species